rnacentral:rRNA from 1 species
CGGUAGAGAGAAGCUUGCUUCUCUUGAGAGCGGCGGACGGGUGAGUAAUGCCUAGGAAUCUGCCUGGUAGUGGGGGAUAACGUUCGGAAACGGACGCUAAUACCGCAUACGUCCUACGGGAGAAAGCAGGGGACCUUCGGGCCUUGCGCUAUCAGAUGAGCCUAGGUCGGAUUAGCUAGUUGGUGGGGUAAUGGCUCACCAAGGCGACGAUCCGUAACUGGUCUGAGAGGAUGAUCAGUCACACUGGAACUGAGACACGGUCCAGACUCCUACGGGAGGCAGCAGUGGGGAAUAUUGGACAAUGGGCGAAAGCCUGAUCCAGCCAUGCCGCGUGUGUGAAGAAGGUCUUCGGAUUGUAAAGCACUUUAAGUUGGGAGGAAGGGUUGUAGAUUAAUACUCUGCAAUUUUGACGUUACCGACAGAAUAAGCACCGGCUAACUCUGUGCCAGCAGCCGCGGUAAUACAGAGGGUGCAAGCGUUAAUCGGAAUUACUGGGCGUAAAGCGCGCGUAGGUGGUUUGUUAAGUUGGAUGUGAAAUCCCCGGGCUCAACCUGGGAACUGCAUUCAAAACUGACUGACUAGAGUAUGGUAGAGGGUGGGUGGAAUUUCCUGUGUAGCGGUGAAAUGCGUAGA